UACGAAGGGGGCUAGCGUUGCUCGGAAUCACUGGGCGUAAAGCGCACGUAGGCGGAUCUUUAAGUCGGGGGUGAAAGCCCGAGGCUCAACCUCGGAACUGCCUUCGAUACUGCAGGUCUCGAGUCCGGGAGAGGUGAGUGGAAUUCCUAGUGUAGAGGUGAAAUUCGUAGAUAUUAGGAAGAACACCAGUGGCGAAGGCGGCUCACUGGCCCGGUACUGACGCUGAGGCGCGAAAGCGUGGGGAGCAAACAGG
rnacentral:rRNA from 1 species